rnacentral:rRNA from 1 species
GGAUUAGAUACCCUGGUAGUCCACGCCGUAAACGAUGAGUGCUAGUUGUUGGGGACUUAGUCUUCAGUGACGUAGUUAACGCGUUAAGCACUCCGCCUGGGGAGUACGGCCGCAAGGUUAGAACUCAAAGGAAUUGACGGGGGCCCGCACAAGCGGUGGAGCAUGUGGUUUAAUUCGAAGCAACGCGAAGAACCUUACCGGUCCUUGACAUCCUGGUCGCGGGAUCCAGAGACGUAUCCUUUCAGUUCGGCUGGACCAGUGACAGGUGCUGCAUGGCUGUCGUCAGCUCGUGCCG